rnacentral:rRNA from 1 species
CCUACGGGAGGCAGCAGUAGGGAAUCUUCCACAAUGGGCGAAAGCCUGAUGGAGCAACGCCGCGUGGGUGAAGAAGGUCUUCGGAUCGUAAAACCCUGUUGUUAGAGAAGAAAGUGCGUGAGAGUAACUGUUCACGUUUCGACGGUAUCUAACCAGAACGCCACGGCUAACUACGUGCCAGCAGCUGCGGUAAUACGUAGGUGGCAUGCGUUAUCCGGUUUUUUUGGGCGUAAAGGGAGCGCAGGCGGUCUUUUAAGUCUGAUGUGAAGGCCUGCGGCUUAACAGGUGUAGUGCAUUGGAUACUGGGAGACUUGAGUGCAGAAGAGGAAGGCGGAACUCGAGGUGUAGCGGUGAAAUGCGUAGAUAUAUGGAAGAACACCAGUGGCGAAGGCAGCUCUCUAGUCUGUAACUGACGCUGAGGUUCGAAAGCGUGGGUAGCAAACAGGAUUAGAUACCCUAGUAGUC